rnacentral:rRNA from 1 species
AAAUUGAAGAGUUUGAUCAUGGCUCAGAUUGAACGCUGGCGGCAGGCCUAACACAUGCAAGUCGAACGGUAACAGGAAUCAGCUUGCUGAUUCGCUGACGAGUGGCGGACGGGUGAGUAAUGUCUGGGAAACUGCCUGAUGGAGGGGGAUAACUACUGGAAACGGUAGCUAAUACCGCAUAAUGUCGCAAGACCAAAAAGGGGGACCUUCGGGCCUCUUGCC